AGCCUAAGCAAGACCUGAAGCACCUCAGAGCGCCGACCUCCAAGUUCUCCUCCACUGCCACCACCCUCAUUGCACCCCGGCUCACCUUCUCAUCCCACCCACCCCUUCCCUGCUCAGUGGUGUCCUGCACGCCAGCAACCUGCAGGGUGAUUUAGUAAACUGCCCCCUGCUCCGGUUCCUGUUCCUGCUCCUGCUCCUCCUCCUCCACCUCCUCCUGCCAGCUCUCGCUCACGCCUCCUCUUCCAGUCCCGGCGCCCAGACUUCGCAAAGCUCAGCGCCCGCCGCCUGCAGCCCCACGGGGCUGCCCAGCGCAGCGCGCUCCUGCUCCUUCUCGCCGCAGCCAGGGGGCACGGGCGCUGGCAAAGGACGCUCGAGGGCCCAGCGCCCCUGGACGCAGCGUGCCCCAGAACUGGGUGUUGAGAGAAGCUGUGCUUUGCUAAAGCUCAGGAGAGAACGGAGCGCGUUCGGAGUGCGACUUCGGGAGCCAGCGGGACGCCCCAGGUUGCCUAGUGCGACGCGGCUGCACGCACGGUCCACAAGGGACCUUCCACUCAGAAGAAAUGCUGUGGUGCUUCCUUUUACCCCAUACAAAAUGGAACGUAAGAAACUACAUAGCUCAACAAACUAGUCUUCUUAUAAAUGAGAGGCACUGAAGUCUGGGUAGCUUCCAGCUGAGGGAAAAUAACCAACAGCUUCUCCACAGUG
ensembl:lncRNA